rnacentral:rRNA from 1 species
UACGUAGGGUGCAAGCGUUGUCCGGAAUUAUUGGGCGUAAAGAGCUCGUAGGCGGUUUGUUGCGUCGGCUGUGAAAUCCCGAGGCUCAACCUCGGGUCUGCAGUCGAUACGAGCAAACUAGAGUGUUGCAGGGGAGACUGGAAUUCCUGGUGUAGCGGUGAAAUGCGCAGAUAUCGGGAGGAACACCGGUGGCGAAGGCGGGUCUCUGGGCAACAACUGACGCUGAGACGCGAAAGCUAGGGGAGCGAACAGG